rnacentral:rRNA from 2 species
GGGCGGUAUGCUAUACAUGCAAGUCGAACGCGUUGGCCCAAUUGAUUGACGGUGCUUGCACCUGAUUGAUUUUGGUCGCCAACGAGUGGCGGACGGGUGAGUAACACGUAGGUAACCUGCCCAGAAGCGGGGGACAACAUUUGGAAACAGAUGCUAAUACCGCAUAACAGCGUUGUUCGCAUGAACAACGCUUAAAAGAUGGCUUCUCGCUAUCACUUCUGGAUGGACCUGCGGUGCAUUAGCUUGUUGGUGGGGUAACGGCCUACCAAGGCGAUGAUGCAUAGCCGAGUUGAGAGACUGAUCGGCCACAAUGGGACUGAGACACGGCCCAUACUCCUACGGGAGGCAGCAGUAGGGAAUCUUCCACAAUGGGCGCAAGCCUGAUGGAGCAACACCGCGUGAGUGAAGAAGGGUUUCGGCUCGUAAAGCUCUGUUGUUAAAGAAGAACACGUAUGAGAGUAACUGUUCAUACGUUGACGGUAUUUAACCAGAAAGUCACGGCUAACUACGUGCCAGCAGCCGCGGUAAUACGUAGGUGGCAAGCGUUAUCCGGAUUUAUUGGGCGUAAAGAGAGUGCAGGCGGUUUUCUAAGUCUGAUGUGAAAGCCUUCGGCUUAACCGGAGAAGUGCAUCGGAAACUGGAUAACUUGAGUGCAGAAGAGGGUAGUGGAACUCCAUGUGUAGCGGUGGAAUGCGUAGAUAUAUGGAAGAACACCAGUGGCGAAAGCGGCUACCUGGUCUGCAACUGACGCUGAGACUCGAAAGCAUGGGUAGCGAACAGGAUUAGAUACCCUGGUAGUCCAUGCCGUAAACGAUGAGUGCUAGGUGUUGGAGGGUUUCCGCCCUUCAGUGCCGGAGCUAACGCAUUAAGCACUCCGCCUGGGGAGUACGACCGCAAGGUUGAAACUCAAAGGAAUUGACGGGGGCCCGCACAAGCGGUGGAGCAUGUGGUUUAAUUCGAAGCUACGCGAAGAACCUUACCAAGUCUUGACAUUUUGCGCCAACCCUAGAGAUAGGGCGUUUCCUUCGGGAACGCAAUGACAGGUGGUGCAUGGUCGUCGUCAGCUCGUGUCCUGCAAUGUUGGGUAAGGUCCCGCAACGAGCGCCACCCUUGUUACUAGUUGC